rnacentral:rRNA from 1 species
CCUACGGGUGGCUGCAGUGAGGAAUUUUGGGCAAUGGGCGCAAGCCUGACCCAGCGACGCCGCGUGGGCGAUGAAGGCCUUCGGGUCGUAAAGCCCUGUGAGUCGAGAAGAAGCCGGCACGUGCUAAUACCAUGUGCUGGUGACAGUAUCGGCAGAGGAAGCCCCGGCCAACUACGUGCCAGCAGCCGCGGUAAACCGUAGGGGGCUAGCGUUGUUCGGAAUCGCUGGGCGUGAAGCGCGAGUCGGCAGCGAAAGCCCUCGGCUCAACCGGGGAACUGCUUUCGAAACUGCUAGGCUUGAAUGCGGGAGGGGAGAGCGGAAUUCCCGGUGGAGCGGUGAAAUGCGUAGAUAUCGGGAAGAACACCGGUGGCGAAGGCGGCUCUCUGGACCGUGAUUGACGCUGAGACGCGAAAGCGUGGGGAGCAAACAGGAUUAGAUACCCCUGUAGUC